UCUCUCUGAAUCUGCGAACGGCUCCGCAAACCAGUUGUAAACUAUAGCAAGCAAGUUCUGGGGUCGGCCGCAAGGUUGGCCCUGGGGCAAUACGGAUAACCAUGGUAAUUCUGAGGCUAAUACGAGAUCAUAAAGCCUGGCCUGCUGGGCAACUGGCGGGCUGGGGGGCGUGUGACAUUGACCGCAAGUUUUGCCAGGACUGGGUGCACGCUAGGACCGCCUCAAAAACGGCUGGGGAUCACGAGCUGCUUCGGCGGUGACGUUUCCUGGUCGGGUGGCUCUUGCUGUGUGCUUCUGACCUAUCAACUAGAUGGCAGCAUAAGGGACAUGCUAUGGUAACAACGGGUACAGAGGAUAAGGGUUCGAUCCUGGAGAGUGGGCCUGAGAGAUU
rnacentral:rRNA from 1 species